rnacentral:lncRNA from 1 species
AAAAAUAUGAAUUUAUCACAACUUUAUUGAACACUAAAGUCCCAGUUACAUUAAAUAACAUGAAAAUAACAUGAUCAGCCCAAAUCAUUAAAAAUGAAAUGAUAUAAAUAAUAAAAAAAAUCCCACCUAAAGUUCAACAUGAGCAUGCUUGUAAAAUUCUCAAGUUAGCUCUUAAUCUCUUAGUAGUUUAAGAUCCCAGGACACUUGAAUCAGUUACAUUAAAUGUGUUACUAUUUACAACAACAAAGCCCUUCCCGCAAAGUGGGACACAAAACGUAUGUCCAUGUCAUGAAGAUCAACAGAAUUUUAUGCUGGUCAUUGACAAAUCACAAAUGUGUUAGUGUUAACAAAUUCUAAAGCUGGUAAAAUUCUAAAGUUCAACAUGAGCAUGCUUGUAAAAUUCUCAAGUUAGCUCUUAAUCUCUUAGUAGUUUAAGAUCCCAGGACACUUGAAUCAGUUACAUUAAAUGUGUUACUAUUUACAACAACAAAGCCCUUCCCGCAAAGUGGGACACAAAACGUAUGUCCAUGUCAUGAAGAUCAACAGAAUUUUAUGCUGGUCAUUGACAAAUCACAAAUGUGUUAGUGUUAACAAAUUCUAAAGCUGGUUUUAACAAAUAGGACGUUCAAUCAGUUGAAUCACUGCCAGCUAAUCAGGCAAUACAUACAAGUGAAAAUUAUAAGAAUCCUUAGUAUUCAAUUUAAACAAUCAUGCAUCCCAAAGUUAUAGUAGAUCCAUAAGGAGAGAUACAAAUCAACAAAAAGUAAAUGCAAAUGAAUCUUUAUACAAUAGCCAUCCCUUCGAUACAAGAAUUAGAAUAAAAGUUUGAUCACAAGUUUAAAAUGCCCAGACAUAGCAUAACUACCCACACAAAACCUUAUCAGCCAAAAUUAAAGUCAAGAGAGAAAAGAAUAUUGUGAUUAAUUUACCCACAUGCUACCCCAUAUUUCAUUAUCCAAACAUGAUACCAGGAAAAGGAAAGUAUAGUAUCAGACUAUCGGUAAUACUAAAAUAGAUUAACUCAUACCCGGCAACUGAGAUCAAAUUUACAGGUUUUUCAUGCCCACAGAGUGUAGCCUUCAAAGCACGAUGUCCUCAUUUGCCACUUGAGCCAAGGGACCAUAGUCAAACGGUACCAUCUUUUCCUCCACUUGCCAAUACAUAAAAGAAAAGAUGAAAACAAAGUCAGCAUAAAAAUAGGAACAAAAUAAAGAACAACUUGCCUUGAUAGCGUCAAGGUUCAUCUUGCUAAAGUGCAUCCAAGCGAAAUUUGUCAAAAGAAAAUACUGUUUCCAAGGAGCAAGCACAAGUGAACAAAUUGAUGUACCUUUUUUUUUUUUGCUAGAAUCCUGAACAUACUAGAAUACAGCACAAGGAAUAGAAAAUUGAAUCGUAGCAUAAAACAACUUCAAGUAUUUGUCUAUUUAUUUUACUUUUGAUCGCAAAAUAAAAGAGGGAUAAACAUACUUCGCACACAUAUCAUUAUCCAACCUCUCUAUCAAGCAUUAAAAUGGGGAAAUUAUAAUAUUUCCAUCACUUUCAGUUUUCACUCUCCUUUCUCCUUUCCACAUUUCCUAAUAAGAACACCUGAUACGAACACAGAAGCUCAAGCACAAGAGGGCAGUAACGACAUAGCAACAGCAAAGAAGGAAUUCGCAGAUGAGGUGGUGCCAAAAGAAGCAAAGCCCAAACAGAGGAUCAAGAAGCCCACUUAUUUGAAUGACUUCGUCUGAGGAUAGCGACAAAGGAAAUGGAAUUGCCAGCUCAUCUUCAAAUCUUCCACAAAUCUUCCUGCUUGAUGCUGCCUACCUGAGGAAGCAGCCAUAACAAAUUGGUUAUUGUAAUAUUCCUAGGAUUAUUCCAUUUCUAGAAGAUUAUUCCAUUCCUAGGAUUUUAUAAAUACCUGUAAAUAACAAAAGCAAAGAUAUGAAAAAGCUGGAAAUUCCUCUGACUCUGUUCUUCUCUAAUUCUCCUUAUUCUCUAGAGGUGCUGGUCCUCCUAAGCCAGUCAUUCCCUAACAUUGGUGCUCUCGUUUCGUGCCUCCAUGUCUGGUCCCUCUCCGCAUGAUACCACCUCGGGUAACCUUGAGGCCAUCCUUACCCGCCUCACUGACACCAUGCAAACCAUGAAUCUGAAACUCGAUGAACUCCUCCACCGUCCUUCCCCAUUUUCUUCCCCUCAACCACAACCCGACCAUUCCCUGUUCCUUCCGUCCCUGCAACACACCACAAAAUGAAGUUAGAAGUUCCGCGUUUUGAUGGCACAGAGCCUCUCGACUGGAUUUUCAAAAUUAAUCAAUAUUUCGAAUACCAUGGCACCCCUGACCGCGACCGCCUCACCAUAGCCUCCUUUUACAUGGAAGGCAGGGUGCUUGCUUGGUUCCAAUGGAUGUCAAGCAAUGCCCAGUUCACUUCAUGGCCAUGGUUUUUACAAGCUUUGCAGACCCGUUUUGCUCCGUCACAAUAAGAAGACCCAACAGGUGCCUUAUUUAAGCUAACGUAGAAAGGAUCAGUGAGUCAAUACCUGUCAGAGUUUGAAGACCUCACGAAUCGAAUUAUCGGGCUGCCAUCUCCUUUCCUCCUAAGUUGCUUCAUCUCCGGCCUUACUUCGGAGAUUCGCAGGGAGGUCCAAGCCAACCAACCUCUCACUUUGGUUCAGGCCGCGGGCCUCGCAAAACUCCAGGAAGAAAAGCUCAUCGAUAGCCGGAACCCUCCGCGAGCUAGAGCGCCACCACUAGCUCCAAAUCUCAUUCGCGCCAACAACCCAAAUGCUGACGUUCACGCCCUUCUUCCGCCGUUACUACCAGCUCCGCCUCGCCCACCACAACCUGUGAUGAAGCGUCUCACCCCGGAGGAGAUAACCUUACGCCAAGAACAUGGGUUAUGCUUCACCUGCGACGAGCGAUAUCAUCAGGGCCAUCACUGCGCCGCUAGGGCUUUCCUCCUUGUGACUGAAGAAGAGGAGCCAACUGACCCUAAAAUAGAUGCAAAUGACCCACCCCCCGACCCACCAGAUGAACCUGACCCAUACCCAGCCCAAAUAAGUCUUAAUUCAUUAUCAGACCACUUGGCACCCGAGGCACUACGCUUAGUGGGAAUCAUGGCCAACCACCGCGUGGUGUUGCUCGUUGACGGUGACAACACCCAUAACUUUAUGCAACCCACCCUCGUGACUCAGCUGGGCCUUCCCUGCCGGAGCACUCGCCGCUACGUGUCAUGGUUGGUAAUGGCCAACAUUUGGACUGCUCUUGUAUCUGUGAAGGGGUAUCUAUUCAAAUUCAAGAUGUCCACUUCACCAUGGACUUGCACGUCUUACCCAUUGUCGGCGCCAACGUCGUCUUGGGCGUCCAAUGGCUUAAGACUUUAGGUCCCAUUCUCACAGAUUAUGGCUCUCUACGCUUGCAAUUCUUCUAUCAGGACCGCUUGAUUGAAUUGAAAGGGGACAGCACAACUGAUUCAGGCCUCAUCACCCACCACCAACUCCGGUGGCUCUAUCGGACACAAACCCAAGCUUCUUAUUUUCAUAUUGCGAUGCUCUCUGAUAAUUGGGAUCCUCCUCCACACCAGGCCCUGCCCCAGACAAUUCAAGCAUUGCUUGAACGUUUUUCCUUCCUGUUUCAGAGUCCACACGGGCUCCCUCCAACCAGAGACAUAGAUCAUCAUAUCCAUCUGCUACCACAAUCCAAUCCUGUCAAUGUGCGCCCCUACCAGUACCCGCACUACCAGAAGCAGGAAAUCGAGCAGCAGGUAGAUGAUAUGCUCCAGAAAGGAUUAAUAUGACCCAGCACGAGUCCUUUUUUGUCGCCGGUCCUCCUUGUGCGCAAACAGGAUGGGACGUGGCGCUUCUGCGUGGACUAUAGGGCCCUGAACAUCGUCACCGUCCGGGAUAGAUUCCCUAUUCCAACAAUUGAUGAGUUAUUGGACGAGUUAGGAGGAGCGCAAUAUUUUUCAAAGCUUGAUUUGUUGCAGGGUUACCACCAGAUCCGCAUGCAUGACUCUGACAUACCCAAGACCGCCUUCAGAACCCACCAUGGACAUUACGAGUUUAAAGUAAUGUCAUUUGGGCUCUGUAAUGCUCCAUCCUCUUUCCAGGCCACCAUGAACAGUAUAUUUCGGCAGCAUCUUCGCCAGUUCAUCAUCAUCUUCUUCGAUGAUAUCUUAGUUUAUAGAACCUCACUUGAAGCUCAUCUCCAGCACCUGGCAACAGCGUUCCAGGUCCUUCUUGACAAUCAUUUUGUUUUAAAAUUCUCUAAAUGUUUUUUCGCGCAGACACAGGUGGAGUAUCUUGGCCACGUGGUAUCGCAGAAGGGUGUGGAACCAGUAGCUUCGAAGGUCAAAGCCAUUCAACAAUGGCUGACACCACGGUCAACGAAGGCUAUAAAAAGCUUCCUGGGACUCGCGGGUUUUUAUCAGAGAUUCAUCUAAAAUUACGCCACGAUUGUUGCCCCUUUGGUCAAACUUACCACCAGGGAUCCUUUUGCUUGGACUCCUCAAGACCAGUUGGCCUUCGAACAACUGAAAACAACUUUCUCCACAGCCCCGGUUCUUGCAUUGCCUGACUUCAAGCUGCCUUUCACUGAAAACAGCAGUCCUCACCCAAAAAGGCCAUCCUGUUGCGUUUUUCAGCAAACCGUUCACGCCUAAGCUCAUUGGUGCCUCGACAUAUGUCCGCGAAUUAUUUGCGAUUACCACGGCGGUCAAAUAGUGGCGUCAAUAUCUCUUGGGUCAGCGCUUCACCAUAAUCACAGAUCAUCGAAGUCUCAAAGAAUUACUGACUCAAGUAAUUCAAACACCUGCACAGCACAAAUACUUGGCUCGCUUGAUGGGGUAUGAUUAUGUCAUCCAAUACCGCUCAGGUCACCACAACCAGGUCGCUGAUGCUCUAUCCCGGCAGCCGAAACAUGAGCCCUCGCAGUGUAUGAUUCUCUCUGUCCCUUCUCUAACCUUCUUGGAAGAACUACGUCAUCAAUUGGAGGAUCACCCAGAAUAUCGCCGCCGCCGGCAAGAGAUUAUGGAAGCUCCAACCAACCACCCUACUUUCUCGGUGUCGAUGGAUUUGGUGUUGACCGAGGGGCAUAUUUGGUUACCUCGAGGAAUCCCAAUUGCGUCAACACUGCUUAAGGAGUAUCACACCACCCCAGUGGGGGGGGGGCAUGCUGGAGUCGCAAAAACAAUGGCCAGGAUUUCGGAAAACUUCACUUGGUCGGGUCUUCGAGAAGAUGUAAAGCAAUUUGUGGCCAAUUGUAUUGAAUGCCAAGUUACAAAGUAUGAGAUGCAGAAGGUGGCAGGGCUGUUGUGCCCCCUUCCGGUACCACAUCGACCAUGGGAAGAUCUUUCUUUAGAUUUUAUCGUAGGCUUGCCAGCAUACCAUGGCAACACCACAAUCCUCGUGGUGGUGGACCGUUUUUCAAAGGGAAUUCAUUUGGGCAUGUUACCGGCAUCCCACACAGCACACAUGGUGGCAUCGUUAUUCAUCGAUAUGGUGGUCAAGAUACAUGGAGUUCCUCGCAAUUUGGUUUUUGACAGGGACCCCCUUUUCAUUAGCAAAUUCUGGCAAGAGCUUUUCAAGGCCAGUGGAACCCAUUUGCGAAUGAACUCUGCUUACCAUCCUCAAAGUGAUGGUCAAACAGAAGUGUUGAACAGGAUUGUUGAACAGUAUCUAAGGGCCUCGUCCACCGACGACCGAACCAGUGGGGCAAGCUUCUACCUUGGAUCGAAUGGUCACAUAACACCUCUUGGAACGCCGGCACAGGCACAACUCCUUAUGAGGUGACGUUUGGAAGAAAGCCAUUUAACUUUCCAGAGUAUAUCAAAGGAACAUCUAACAUCGAAGCAUUGAAUGCUUAUUGACUGAAAAAGAUGCCACUUUCCAAACGAUUCGCAAAAAGCUUCUUAAAGCACAGGAAGCUAUGAAAAAGUAGGCCGAUAGCAAGAGGCGCAACAGGCAAUACCAGAUAGGUGAUUGGGUCUUGCUCCGGCUUCGUCCUCUCCACCAGACAUCAGCCAAAGGGCCUCAAAUAGCUUCUGGUAAACUCGCAAAACGAUUCUAUGGACCCUUCCAGGUAAUAGAUCGCAUUGGCAUUAUGGCCUACAAACUGAAAUUGCCGGAAACAGCUAAAAUCCACCCUGUGUUCCAUUGCUCUAAACUUAAACCUUUUCGAGGAAUUCCAGAGCAGCAAACAGAACUGAAGUUGCCAUCAACAUUUCUCAACGAUCAACCGCUGGUGUACCCUUUGGCUAUCUUGGAUUUUCGUAAAGCUUCAGAAGAAGGAGCUUGGGAGGUGCUGGUUUAGUGGCAAGGUCUCUCUCCCGAUGAGACCUCUUGGAAAGAUUGGACGCAGUUACAACAAGAUUAUCACCUUGAGGACAAGGUGAUCUUACAAGGGCCGAAGAGUGAUACGAACACAGAAGCUCAAGCACAAGAGGACAGUAACGACAUAGCAACAACAGAGAAGGAAUUCGCAAAUGAGGUGGUGCCAAAAGAAGCAAAGCCCAAACGAAGGAUCAAGAAGCUCACUUACUUGAAUGACUUCGUCUGAGGAUAGCGACAAAGGAAAUGGAAUUGCCAGCUCAUCUUCAAAUCUUCUUGCUUGAUGCUUCCUACCAGAGGAAGCAGCCAUAACAAAUUGGUUAUUGUAAUAUUCCUAGGAUUAUUCCAUUUCUAGAAGAUUAUUCCAUUCCUAGGAUUUUAUAAAUACCUGUAAAUAACAAAAGCAGAGAUAUGAAAAAGCUGGAAAUUCCUCUGACUCUGUUCUUCUCUAAUUCUCCUUAUUCUCUGGAGGUGUUGGUCCUCCUAAGCCAGUCAUUCCCUAACAAGACCCUAAAAUGAGCAAUAACAGGAUUAAGAAUGUGUACAUGGGCAUGGGCGACUGAAACAAUUUUACUUAUCUAAUCAAUACCUUCCACCACAGACAAUGGAGUGAUCGCAGCUGGAGGUAACUAAAACCUUUUGCUCCCCUUGCAUAUCACCUUGAAAUACUGAAGUCAUUUCAUUAAGGGGAAACAACCACCUGCAGUUUGAUUAUUUUAGUUGAGAUUAAGCGAAUUCACCCCGAGUUCCAUGUAGUUUAAGUUUCUAGGUGGAAAAGAUAUUCAACUUGGGAACCCAAAAUAACAGAUUAUAAUUCUAGGAAUGUUGUACUAGCUAGGGAACAAAUACAGCUAAUUCACCACCACCAACAAAGACCUUAUCCGACUAGGUAAGAUCAGUUGCAUGAAGAUCAAAUUCUAAGAGAUACUGGGAGAUUCCCCUUAACAAUUUUGUCCAGUGUCCUUAUUGGUUUUUACAACUACACAAGUCUCCUUCACUCAAAAAUAUUCUAAGGAUACUUUUGGAAGUGAAAAAAAAAGGAAAUAUAAUUUCUUUUCAUUUUAAAUUUGAAAGACUUUUACCAAAAUCAAUUUUUUUAAGAUUGAAGAAUCAAAUUUGCUACAUACUACUAAUCUUUAUAAUUAUAAUAAUAGAAACCUGUGAGUUUCUGGAGAAGCAAGCGUGUGCAUCAAAGUCGAGAAACUUGAACCCUCCCUGUGAAGUUUAAAUUCGAUUCAGUAACAGAGAGAGAAAGAGGGAUGUUGAUUGGUGACCUUAAGAAGCGUUGCCAAAUGGAAUUGGAAUAGACGAGGCGUUUCAGAACGGAUGAUGUCAUCGCCAAAUUGCAAACGUAGCUGAAGCAGUUGGCUAUGGAGUCUUCGUUUGUUACAAUUUUUUUGACAGAUUUAUUUUUACUUUCCUUUAUGUUUCUUUCAGCUUUUUAAAAUAAUUAGAAGCUAAAAAUAAUCUUAAAUUGUUUUUUUAUCUGUAACAAUAGAUAAUAACUUCCUCGUUCUCCUCACCCAUUAGUCUGACAAGAAUUUUUCAACUCCAC